GACGAACGCUGGCGGCGUGCCUAAUACAUGCCAGUAGAACGCUGAAGCUUGGUGCUUGCACCGAGCGGAUGAGUUGCGAACGGGUGAGUAACGCGUAGGUAACCUGCCUGGUAGCGGGGGAUAACUAUUGGAAACGAUAGCUAAUACCGCAUAACAGUAGAUAUCGCAUGAUAGCUACUUGAAAGGUGCAAAUGCACCACUACCAGAUGGACCUGCGUUGUAUUAGCUAGUUGGUGAGGUAACGGCUCACCAAGGCAACGAUACAUAGCCGACCUGAGAGGGUGAUCGGCCACACUGGGACUGAGACACGGCCCAGUCUCCUACGGGAGGCAGCAGUAGGGAAUCUUCGGCAAUGGACGGAAGUCUGACCGAGCAACGCCGCGUGAGUGAAGAAGGUUUUCGGAUCGUAAAGCUCUGUUGUAAGAGAAGAACGAGUGUGAGAGUGGAAAGUUCACACUGUGACGGUAUCUUACCAGAAAGGGACGGCUAACUACGUG
rnacentral:rRNA from 1 species